rnacentral:rRNA from 1 species
AGUCAACCUACCCUAUGGACGGGAAUAAUCUCGGGAAACUGAGGAUAAUGCCCGAUAGAACACUAUGCCUGGAACGGUUUGUGUUCCAAAUGAUUUAUCGCCGUAGGAUGGGACUGCGGCCUAUCAGUUUGUUGGUGAGGUAAUGGCCCACCAAGACUAUUACAGGUACGGGCUCUGAGAGGAGUAGCCCGGAGAUGGGUACUGAGACACGGACCCAGGCCCUAUGGGGCGCAGCAGGCGAGAAAACUUUGCAAUGUGCGAAAGCACGACAAGGUUAAUCCGAGUGGUUCCUGCUAAAGGAACCUUUUGACGGUCCUAAAACCACCGUUGAAUAAGGGGUGGGCAAGUUCUGGUGUCAGCCGCCGCGGUAAAACCAGCACCUCAAGUGGUCAGGAUGAUUAUUGGGCCUAAAGCAUCCGUAGCCGGCUCUGUUAGUUUUCGGUUAAAUCUGUGCGCUCAACGUACAGGCUGCCGGGAAUACUGCAGAGCUAGGGAGUGGGAGAGGUAGACGGUACUCGGUAGGAAGGGGUAAAAUCCUUUGAUCUAUUGAUGACCACCUGUGGCGAAGGCGGUCUACCAGAACACGUCCGACGGUGAGGGAUGAAAGCUGGGGGAGCAAACCGGAUUAGAUACCCGGGUAGUCCCAGCUGUAAACUAUGCAAACUCAAUGAUGCACUGGCUUGAAGCCAAUGCAGUGUU